rnacentral:rRNA from 1 species
UACGUAGGAUGCGAGCGUUAAUCGGAAUUACUGGGCGUAAAGCGUGCGCAGGCGGUUAUUUAAGUCAGGUGUGAAAGCCCUAGACUUAACCUAGGAAUUGCGCUUGAGACUGGAUAGCUUGGAGUGCGGCAAAGGGAGGUGGAAUUCCACGUAUAGCAGUGAAAUGCGUAGAGAUGUGGAGAAACACCGAUGGCGAAGGCAGCCUCCUGGGCCAGCACUGACGCUCAUGCACGAAAGCGUGGGGAGCAAACAGG